rnacentral:rRNA from 1 species
AAUCAACGCUGGCGGCGUGCCUCAGACAUGCAAGUCGAACGUGAAAGUUCCUUCGGGGAUGAGUAAAGUGCGCACGGGUGAGUAACACGUGGGUAAUUUGCCUUCGGGUGGGGAAUACCAACCGGAAACGGUUGUUAAUACCNCAUGAUGCAGCGGCUCCGAUUGGAGACAGUUGUUAAAGCGGGGGAGCGGAGCAAUCCGUCCUCGCGCCUGAAGAGAAGCCCGCGGCGGAUUAGGUAGNGGUGAGGUAAUGGCUCACCAAGCCUGCGAUCCGUAACCGACCUGAGAGGGUGGUCGGUCACACUGACACUGACAUACGGGUCAGACUCCUACGGGAGGCAGCAGUCGGGAA